UACAGAGGGUGCGAGCGUUAAUCGGAAUUACUGGGCGUAAAGCGCACGUAGGCGGAUUUGUAAGUCAGGGGUGAAAUCCCGGGGCUCAACCUCGGAACUGCCUUUGAUACUGCAAAUCUCGAGUCCGGAAGAGGUGAAUGGAAUUCCUAGUGUAGAGGUGAAAUUCGUAGAUAUUAGGAAGAACACCAGUGGCGAAGGCGGCUCACUGGUCCGGUACUGACGCUGAGGCGCGAAAGCGUGGGGAGCAAACAGG
rnacentral:rRNA from 1 species